CCGGAAGGUGCGGCUGGAUCACCUCCUUUCUAGGGAGAUCCGAGUCUCGACUCUUGGUGGGGUCGAGGCGUUGAUGGCUCCUAGGGUUGAUCGCACGAUCGCUCGAGUCUCCCCGCCAGGUGGAGCUCGCCGGCGACCGGUCCGCGAGGAUCGGCUGUCGGAGAUCGAUACGCGACCUGGAAAGAACACCGAACCCACUCGAUCUCAUCCGACGUCCGGAAUUCCUGUCACUCUUCAAGGGUCAAGGUGCAGCCGUCCGCGGCGACGACCGUGUCGUCAACGUCAGGCACGGCGAACCACCGCGGAGGGCGAUUAGCUCAGCUGGUUAGAGCGCUGCCCUGAUAAGGCAGAGGUCUCUGGUUCGAGUCCAGAAUCGCCCACCAUUCCCCCCACCUGGCGCGGGGACGUAGCUCAGCUGGUAGAGCAUCUCCUUUGCAAGGAGAGGGUCAGGAGUUCGAGUCUCCUCGUCUCCACCAUCACCGUCCCACCGCCGAUCGCAAACUGAACAGCUCGGGUCCCAUCCCCGAAACCCCAUCACCCGUCCGAGCGGGAUUUCGUGUCCCGUAUCGAGCCCCUGAUCCGUGUCCUUCCCAGUCGUGGCAGGCCACCGACCAGCGGAUCGCUGGGCGGCGGAACGACCUUGGUCGUGCCCGUCGUGAGACGCGCUCCUGGAGUGCGUCGCACCUUAACAACUGGAUAUGUUUCGGCAGAUUGAAUGAAUCUUCGAUUUCGCCGAGUAGUCAAUACGAAAUGAUCCCGAUCCGAUCCCAAUCAGCGACUGGCCACCUGGUCAGAGGCUGGAGGGGGUCAAGCUACAAAGGGCACGG
rnacentral:tRNA from 1 species